AUUCUCUCUCGUGGAACUCGAAUCAUCACCUAUCGAGAAUUUUAUUACUAUUUCUCCCUCCGGUUGAACUGUUCAAAUCGUAGACCUCUCCAUUUGGAACCUUAUGGCAAAGCGAACAGAGGAACUGUUGAGCGAUUAUAGCAUCUCCAGCAAUUCCAUUGGCAGCGGAAAUUACUCGCUAUACCGAAGGAAGAAGACGAUCGAUUAAUUGGCGAUCAAGCGCGUUGAUGUGCAGUAGAUGAUCAAGAUUCUGCAGGAAGCGAAUCAACAGAACUUACUUAUUGUGCGRAGAAGGAGUUCUCAGCUGAUGUUUGCUCCGAGGCGUAUGUUUUUCUGAAAUAUCGAAAAAGUAAUCACCAUAAGAAACUGCUGCAUCUGUUCAAUUUUGGACUAGUUGAACUUUUGGUUUUGCAUUAUAUCUAAGCUGGAGUUUGAACGGGAUUGAUGUUUCUGCGGGAAAUAUGUUGUGCUUCACAUGAUCGCAGGAGGAAAUAUCUGCUCAAACAUGAUCAGUUUUGGAGUACUUUAUCGGAGGAGACCUCACGAGCUAUUGAGAUUCGGAAGUAGAUGAUCGAGUAAUCAACAAUCAGAGGCGUCGACAGUAGAACUCACAUAUUGUACGGAGUUCUAAGCUAGUUAUUGGUUCAAUGCGAGUUCGAACGGAAUUGAGGUUUCGAAUAUGUUGAGCUUCACGAACUGGCAAUAAGCUCAUUCUUCACUGAUCUCAGAUUAUUGACCCUAGGAUAAACGGAUCAUGCUAAAGUUUCAUUUACCUUUUAAGAUUUUCUAUUUUUUGUUCUUUUCCUGUUGGAUCAUUUAAAAGCUCAUGCUCGAUUGAAGUGGCUCGAACUUUUCGUUUUCUUCAACUCUGAC